rfam:Loxodonta africana unplaced genomic scaffold scaffold_7, whole genome shotgun sequence.
GCAAUGGUGAUUCAGUGGUAGAAUUCUUGACUUCCAUGUAGGAGACCCAGAUUUGAUUCCUGGCCAAUGUA